ensembl:lncRNA
GAAGCUCCUGAGCCAGGACAUACUGUUCUUUUCAGAGCCAAGAGGAUGAGGAAGAGGAAGACAAAACUCUCAGUGUGGGGCAUUGUUCUCCUCAGAGCCAGUCUCCCAGACUUGUCUCGUCUGCCUUGGCACCGACAUUCUUAUACAAUGCCAGUGAAUGAAUCAAGCCAGAUGACUUGAGGUCCAAACAGGACUUCUGCUCCUUGUAUGUAAUUUUGCCCUUGCCGUCAUCUCUGCCUGGUGUAUGUCGUCACCAUCAAGCUGAAAUAUACCUACUUCUCUUUCACAACAUAGCUCAGAAAUCACUUCUUUUAAGUGUUUCUAUGAGCCUUCCAGCUUCGGGAGCUGGUUGCUUUUUCUUGGACCUCCAGCUCCUGACACAGUUUCUGCACUGAUUUGUUUUCAUGUUUAACCAUCCCCACUGAUUUGAAAGCUCACCCAGGGCCUCAGCCAUGGCCUGCUAGUCUUGGUCUGCAUUUCUAAGUCCUGGCCAAAUCCAAGCAUCUGUUGUUAUUGUUGUUUACUUGCUAGGUCGUGUCCGACUCUUUGUGAUCCCACGGACUGCAUGCAGCACCCCCGGCUUCCCUGUCCUUCACUGUCUCCCAGAGUUUGCUCAAACUCAUGUCCAUUGAGUUGGUGAUCUCAUCUCAUCCUCUGUCACCCCCUAAGUUCUCAUAAGUAUCUUUCGAACUAAUGUGUCAAUACAGGGUCCUGCCUCACCUGAUGGAAGUUCACUUCCAGACCCUGGCAGUCUAGUUAAUCACCACUCCAUUAAAAAUGGGCUGUGUCAAGCUCUAAAGUGACUAUGGGAAAGAGAGUUUAAAGGAGUCCAGAAAAGAGCUUAUGGGCCAAAUCAGCUUGUAAUCGUAGGAGCUGCAGGUCUGACAUACAAGGGGCAAAACAGGCUUCUGCUCAGAAGUCACCUCCUCUGAGAGAUGCUCUCUGAAAUGUUAGUCCCUCCCCAGCCCUCAGGCCUUCUGUUUGGCUUUGUCGUCAUCACUCUCAUCAAAAUCUGACAGUUAAUUCUAUAUCCAUCUAUCUAUUGUCUGAUCCCCAGUAUAGACCCACAAGGGUGAGAACUCUGUUGAAUUCACAUGACCUAUCUCAGCACUGACCACAGGGUAGACCCUCAAUAAAUAUGGGGUGAAAAAUAAAGGAAUAGAUUAUUCCUGGCCCCCAAAGAAUGGAUGCAUGCUGUUGCUGCUCGUUCCAAGUAUUAUGAAUAGUAAUUUAAUUAGCUUGGUUUCCUGAGAGUUCGAGUUGAGAGUGAUAUGAAGUGGAAUCAAAAGCUCUGGAGCCUGGGUGGUGAAGGAAAGAGGAUUUCCCGAGGGCCAGGCCAUCCAUGACUGAUCACUGUGGUUCACAACGUGAUCCUAAAUAAUGACACAGUGUGUGCUCAUUGUCCCUGGGUUUAUCAUUCACACAUGGACUUGCUGAACUAUUCAGCUAAUAGAGCUUCUGCACCUGGUGGCGGCAGUGGUUAGUCACUAAGUCGUGUUUGACUCUUGCAACUCCAUGGACUGUAGCCCACCAGGCUUCUCCAUCCAUGGAUUCUCCAGGCAAGAACACUGGAGUAGGUAGCCAUUCCGUUCUCCAAGGGAUCUUCCUGAUCCAGGGACUGAACCUGGGUCUCAGGCAUUGCAGGCAGAUUCUUUAUCACCUGGGCCAGCAGAGAAGCCAAAAGUUGAGAGUCAUGUUUUAUUUGGAGGACAAAACUGAGGACUUAAGCCUGGAUACAGCAUCUCAGAAAACUCUGAGAGACUGCUCCAAAAAGAUAAGGGAGGACCCAGGAUACAUACAAGUUUUUGCAAAAAGACCAG